ACACACGGACAGAGACGGGAGAGGAGAGAGAGAUGAAGAGAUAGAGAGGAGGAGAGGGAAGGGAGGAUAGGCAGGAGAGAGCCAAAAAGAUAGAGAGUGAAAGGAAGAGAGAGAUAAGAGAGAAGGAAAGAUGAGAGGGAGGAAGAUGGAGAAAGUAGAAGAGCAGGAAACAACAGUUGGAGAGAGAGAAAGAAGGAGAGAGAGAAAGAGAGACACUGAGCCCUGGGGACAGAGGGAAGGACAGCUGGGCUGGAGGCAGGGGGCCUGGGAGCCUGGUCAAGUCAGUCCAUGAGGCUGCUCUGAGACGUCACUGGGGGCAGGGAGAGAGUUAUCCAGAACUUUAGUACAGUCUUCUUUCUAGAAAACAGUGCUACCAGAAAGGGCUUAUGUCCAGAUCUGAGGUGCACUUACUUGUUCCCGAAGAUCCAAAUCUAAGUUGCUUUUAGAUUCUACUCUGUGCUUCCACGGAGUCUACUCUAACGACCUUGGCCAGGUCUCUGGCCUCCAUCAAGGAACGACCAGAAUUCCUGGGUCUGGCCACAGGUUUUGGCCCCGCCUCAGAGGGUUGGGUGAGGGGGCUUAGCAGGUGUAGGAGAGCUUGCUCUGGGCAGUAGCUGUGGGCCUUACUUCUGUAUUUGCCGCAGUAUCUGAUUUGCCCUGUAGAGCAUUUAUGUCACUAGGUUUUUACAAAAGUUGCUUUUUGACUUAUUGCCUUAGUGACGAGUUGUCAGGUUUUUCUCUGUUUAAGUGGCUACAGCUGAAUAGCUCAGGCCAAACUUAAAGCUCACACUUGAGACUUGACGUGCUCAGCUCCUGCUAAAGAGGCUCCAGGGCAGCGCCUGCCUUUCCGGGAAGCUCCCCUGAGGGUCACCGAGGCUGCAGAGAACACCCGGUGAUGACUGCAUGGAUCUCCUUCAUCUGCUGGGAUUCAAGCUGUGUUGCUGGUGUGGCAGUAAUGGAAUGUGAGGAGCACAACUGAACAAGUCACCAAACGUCAAUGAACCAGCUCACUGCUGCUUCUGGAGAACAGCCCGUGACAUUUUCCAAGGGUCCUGCCUACCCAUCUGAGGACAUGUCUGCUCAUCACCCAUGUGCAUUCUGUCACAGUGGGACCUGUGUGUGUUCCCUGCUCAUUGUCGUUUCCAUGGUUUUGCUGAUUCUAUGCGAUUCUUCCAGGCCACUCCAAGUUCCACCUCUUCCACGAAGCCCUCCUUGAUUGCUGGGCCCUGGUUGAACUCCUUAUUAGUAACACCCAGGUACAGUCCUGCAGUCCUCAGAGGAUGCCAGUCCCACACAGGGGGAUCCUUCUCCAUAGGAAAACCGAGGAACAAUGCAGGUUCGAGGUGCACAGUGGCUAAGCACACUCAGUCCUCAAGAUCUUUCCUCUCAAAUGCUAAUGCUACCUUCAGAUGGGCUGCUGCCUGCUACCAUUUCAACAUUGAGUCCUUUAAGAUGCCAUCAGAGAGAGGGGAAGCAAGAGGCCAAGAAAAAUGAAAGGUAAGCACAAGACCAGUAGAAUGAGUGGGGAGAUCUGUCUGUCUGUCUGUCUGUUUGUUUGUUUGAAGUGUCUUCUGCUUGACUGCAGUUACUGUUCUUCAAGUGAGGGCGAAGCGCUUCUCUUCUCCUCUCUGAUAGCUCUGCAGCUCUCUAAGUAAACUCUUUGACAAACACAUCGCAGCAGCGAGUGGAAACAUGUCUGAGACGCUGCAGCAUAGCCCGGCUGGUUCUGUUCUUAGCAGUAUUUGCUAAGUUCCAUCCAUUAGAAUGUUUUUAAACAAUGGGACGCAUGUCAUCUUGAUUUGACAGGAUAAUCCUGAGUUUAUAGAAUUUCAUCACAGUGUGUGAAACUGGUUUUUAACUUCACUAUACUGGCCCUCAGCGGUGGAGUCAACUGGGCACUGAAUAGAAAAAUCUCCCUCCUCCGUGUUGUCCCCAGCCCACCACAUUUCGCCCUAAGCUCUGCCCUGCACCAACACCAGCCUUCUUCUGGAGUUUGGCAGCUGUGGCAACUGCUGGCUGUCUCUCAACCACUUCACAAUAUGUAUCAAUGUAUUCUACAAAUCAUUGUAUUUGCCAAGCAUUCUACUACUACACAGUUCUGAUUCAACUGACGUGUAUCUUAGAGGUCAAUAUAUUUUCUUUUUCCCUUAGCUUGGCUAGGACUCCAUAGGAAACAGCUAUUUGAGUGAUGAUAUAUAGGAGAAGGAUAGUACUGUAUUUAACUGUCUGUUAAUAUCAGAGAAGAUGAAUAUUUUUCACCUCCCUGUACAUAGCUAUGCAUAAGCUUGGUAUUCAUUUAUGAACAAUGUAGCAUUUUCAAAGGCACAACUGAUUUACUUACAUUAAGUCAAUAUAAAUAAAUUAUGUUAGUAGAUUGCGAAUUUUGAAAGUUGUAAUCAACAUCAAAAAUGAAAUGUCUUGGUUGUCCAACUUAAAUUAUAUAAUGCAAUUUCAACACAGUAAAAAAAAAAUCACCUAGCGUAAUAGUGAGAGUUUGAAUCAUUAUUAGUUAGAUUCUUGUUUGUAUUAAUUAAGAAUUUCACAGACAUUGUUUGUAAGUGAAAAAGAUAUUUUAAAUAAGUAUUUAGAACAAUUUUUGUUUUGUGAUCCUUCAUGCUGCCUGUUGAAUGAGUUAAGC
rnacentral:lncRNA from 10 species